AACUUUUAAGUUUUACAAUAAAUUUUCAGAGGAAAUACAAAUAGAGUGUCCAGCAGCACACACACACUGCCUGUGGUUGCUUUCAUACACACAGUGUGUACUCCGCCAUGGAUGGAGGAGGGAUGGAGGUGGGACACUUUCUAUUUUCUGACACUUUUUCCUUCGCCUUUUUCCUUGGCUUUCCGAUAUGUCCUUAAAGGUUUGACACUCGUGGUACUGACUAAAUCAGAGUAAUUCAAUGAGUGCUUAACGUUUAAUGUUUCUAAUGUAUAUUAACGAAGCAUUUUAGAUUCUUGUUUUUUACGCAGGGUUUUCUCUUAUUUCAUAUAUAUUUUUCAGUUUCAAACGCAUCCAUAAUCAAGAAAAUGUAUUCCAAUCUCAAUAAACACUGAAACGGAUUUCCAUUUGACAAAGGGUUUUCCUUGGCUUUGGUCCCGCCUCUGUUAACUUUUCAUAAGUGUCAUGGUGCAAAUCAUUGUAAAAUGUUUACUAAUUGUAAUUUAUCCGACUCCCAUAGUCUAACAUAGUUGGGGCUAUGUGUGCAUUGCAUUUCAAAAGCUGCAAAAUUCAGCUCGCCAUAAAAAUACACAAAGAGCGUGCAAAUAUUUGAGAUAAAAAGCGGAUUUAUGCAGAGCCAAGGAAAAAAUGAAGGAUUAACCUGAAUAAAUACAAAGCAAUUGUGGAAAUUGUGCCAGGACCAAGAGAACCGGCUCCCCCAAAGGAAUGUCAUAUUGAAUAAGAAAUUCCCAGCCGCUGAGACUGGAGGCUCUGGGGAGUUCAGCCGACCGCAAUGAUCUAAUGCCGCCAAGACUGAGUAAUAAAAAUAAAAAUGAAGCCACCGGAUACCGGAUGACAAGGGCAAAGCAAAACAAUGAAAGGAAUUAAAAGUGAAGAGUAAAGUGAGGGAAAAGCGAAAGUCCAGCGUUCCGACUGAGAGACAUUAUGUUUUCUAUUGCACAAAUACAUUAUACAAUAACUAAAAAUAA